rnacentral:rRNA from 1 species
GUAGGGAAUAUUGGUCAAUGGACGAAAGUCUGAACCAGCCAUUCCGCGUGCAGGAAGAAGAUUCUAUGGAUUGUAAACUGCUUUUAGCAGAGAAGAAACGCCUUCAUUGAUGAGGGUUUGACGGUAUCUGCGGAAUAAGCACCGGCUAACUCCGUGCCAGCAGCCGCGGUAAUACGGGGGGUGCAAGCGUUAUCCGGAAUCACUGGGUUUAAAGGGUGCGUAGGCGGGAAAUUAAGUCAGUGGUGAAAGUCUGUUGCUUAACGAUAGAAUUGCCGUUGAUACUGAUUUUCUUGAAUUGGGUUGAGGUUAGCGGAAUGUGACAUGUAGCGGUGAAAUGCAUAGAUAUGUCAUGGAACACCAAUUGCGAAGGCAGCUAGCUGGGCCUUGAUUGACGCUGAGGCACGAAAGCGUGGGUAGCGAACAGGAUUAGAAACCCGGGUAGUCC